rnacentral:rRNA from 1 species
GUAGGUGGCAAGCGUUGUCCGGAAUUAUUGGGCGUAAAGCGCGCGCAGGCGGUCCUUUAAGUCUGAUGUGAAAGCCCACGGCUCAACCGUGGAGGGUCAUUGGAAACUGGGGGACUGGAGUACAGAAGAGGAAAGCGGAAUUCCAAGUGUAGCGGUGAAAUGCGUAGAGAUUUGGAGGAACACCAGUGGCGAAGGCGGCUUUCUGGUCUGUAACUGACGCUGAGGCGCGAAAGCGUGGGGAGCAAACAGGGAUUAGAUACCCUGGUAGUCCACGCCGUAAACGAUGAGUGCUAAGUGUUAGGGGGUUUCCCGCCCCUUAGUGCUGCGGCUAACGCAUUAAGCACUCCGCCUGGGGAGUACGGCCGCAAGGCUG